rnacentral:lncRNA from 1 species
UGAGCAGGCUUAGUGGAGCAACAAGGCUGUUUAUUCACUUGGGUGCAAGUGGGCUGAGUCAGAGAAAGGAGUCAGCGAAGGGUGGUGGGAGUGGAACUGGUUCUAUAGGUUUGGGGUAGGUAGUGGAAAGUUACAGUUAGGGGCAGUUUUUUUGGGCAGGGGAAGAAUGUUACAAGGUGCAUAGUCACAAGGUGGGGGAAGUCAUAAGGCACGAUAUCACAAGGUGGAUGGAUUAGUUGGGGAAGGGCAGGAACAUAUCACAAGGUGGAUGGAUUAAUUAGGGUAGGGAAGGAACAUAUCACAAGGUGGAUGGAUUAGUUAGGGUAGGGCAGGAACAUGUCACAGUGGUGGAUGGAUUAGUUGGGGAAGGGCAGGAACAUAUCACAAGGUGGAUGGAUUAGUUAGGGUAGGGAAGGAACAUAUCACAAGGUGGAUGGAUUAGUUAGGGUAGGGCAGGAACAUGUCACAGUGGUGGAUGGAUUAGUUAGGGUAGGGCAGGAACAUGUCACAAGGUGGAUGGAUUAGUUAGGGUAGGGCAGGAACAUGUCACAAGGUGGAUGGAUUAGUUGGGGAAGGGCAGGAACAAUCACAAGGUGGAUGGAUUAGUUGGGGAAGGGCAGGAACAUAUCACAAGGUGGAUGGAUUAGUUGGGGAAGGGCAGGAACAUGUCACAAUGGUGGAUGGAUUAGUUGGGGAAGGGCAGGAACAUGUCACAAUGGUGGAUGGAUUAGUUGGGGAAGGGCAGGAACAUAUCACAAGGUGGAUGGAUUAGUUAGGGAAGGGCAGGAACAUAUCACAAGGGUGGAUGGAUUAGUUGGGGAAGGGCAGGAACAUAUCACAAGGUGGAUGGAUUAGUUGGGGAAGGGCAGGAACAUGUCACAAUGGUGGAUGGAUUAGUUGGGGAAGGGCAGGAACAUGUCACAAUGGUGGAUGGAUUAGUUGGGGAAGGGCAGGAACAUAUCACAAGGUGGAUGGAUUAGUUGGGGAAGGGCAGGAACAUAUCACAAGGUGGAUGGAUUAGUUGGGGAAGGGCAGGAACAU